ensembl:snRNA U6 U6 spliceosomal RNA
GUGGCCAUUUUGCCAACACAUAUACUAAAAUUAGAACAAUAUAGAGAAGAUUAGUAUGGUCCCUGUGCAAGGAUGACAUGCAAACUUGUGAAGCAUUACACAUUUUU